rnacentral:lncRNA from 1 species
UGCUUACCAAGUUCUAAGGCCUUACUGAUUUCCAGUCAACUUGUUCUAUCCAUUAUUGAGAGACGAGUGUUAUAGUCAGCAACUAUAAUUAGCCGUCUGUUCUCAGGCCAAGCUUGCUUCCUACUCUGCCAUAAGGUGAGCCAUCUCUACCUGCCUGGAGAUGGACCUGCGGUCAUCCAGUUCCACCAGUGCCUGGCUGGAGCUAUAAGUUGGUGCUGUUUGCCAGGGUUGGUGUCUACAGAGGGCCAGGGGAAUUCCAAGCGAGGGACUCAAGGAGAGCUUCUUGGACUCCUCAAGUUCUACCAGGAGGCAGUGCUAUGGUGUGCCCAACCCUCCCAGGGGCCUAAGUGGCCACCCUCUUGGGAAUGCCCAAAGCAUCUGCUAUUUAGGACUUGGUUACAGAGCACCAUCAGCUUCCCCAAGCAACUAUUGAAAUGCAAAAGGAAUGAAGUGCCUGGAAAGAGAAAUUGCUUUUGACCAGUUACCCUUUUAUUCUCCCUCUCAUUUUUGGAGGCCUGGAGCCAGCUAGCCAGGCUGAUGUGAAGAACUGCUUAAGUGUGAGCAAGUUGGGUGUGGAGGGUACGGAGCUCCAUGCCUGCACAAUGGCACUCCCCCCACCAAGUCUGCAGGGAAGGCCGUGGGUGGGCCUCUGACAGAAGAUAUUCUUUCUCAGUGCUGUACGUGACAUCCUGGUCAAAUAGACGGAUUUGCAAGCAAGCAUUUUCCCAGGAGAUAGAGUGGCCAAGGUAUUGCUUGUGUCUGACCCCCUUCUUCUGUCUGAAACAAGGGCUACCCUCCACCCAGCCACUGUCUAAAGAGCUUCAUUUAAAGUUGGAUAAAGGCAGUUUCCGACUACAGGAGACCUGCAGACUUACCAUGUGUUCCUUGGAGCACCCUGGCUUAGUCAGGAUCUUUCUGAAUGCUCCCUUUGGGUGCACCUCUUGUUGAUACAAGCAAAAACUAGCAUAGGGACCCUGGAGCAGGAAGUGAAUAGGUAUUGUUGAAACCAUCCCAAUAAACCUUUAUGAGGCCCCUAUUCUGAGUUAGGCUGACUCAUGGCUUGA